UACGGAGGAUGCGAGCGUUAAUCCGGAUUUAUUAGGGUUUAAAGGGUGCGUAGGCGGGGAUUUAAGUCAGCGGUGAAAGUUUGAGGCUCAACCUUAAAAUUGCCGUUGAAACUGGGGUUUUCUUGAGUGUAUUUGAAGUAGGCGGAAUUCGUUGUGUAGCGGUGAAAUGCAUAGAUAUAACGAAGAACUCCAAUUGCGCAGGCAGCUUACUAAACUACAACUGACGCUGAAGCACGAAAGCGUGGGUAUCAAACAGG
rnacentral:rRNA from 1 species